GGCUGCCGAGCGAGAAGGGCCGCCCCCACCCGCCCAGGAGAAGGUCCCCGCCUGCAUGGGCUCUGACCUCUUGGCCAGUUAACAGGAACCAACCUCUGCUCCCUGCACCUUAAAAUGGGUAAAUUGCGAUCCACACACGGAGAAGGACGGGGCAGAGUCCUCAGACCUCUUACCCCAGAUGUAUUCAUUAUGGAUCCUCGAAUACCAUGGCUCAAAAGGCGGGGGAUGGACUUUGCCUGCCAGGGGACAUCUGGUAAUGUCUGGAGACAGUUUUGGUUGUCACGUCUGGGAGAGGGGAUAUUGUGCCAUUGGCCUCGAACGGGUGGAAGCCCGGGAUGCGGGUCAACAUGCUGCAAUGCACAGGACAGCCCCCCAACAAGAAUGAUUCAGCACCGGGGCCAGGAAACUCUGUUCUAUGACAAUGCCCUUGGAUAUUCCGGAAAUGGGUGCCCCGCCCCUUCCUUCCCCCGCCCAGAAUUCUGUUUGAAUUCUCAUUGUUAUUGCUGUUGUUUUCUUGGCAUUAUCACAGCUUGAACCAAAAAUUUUUUUUUUUUUCAGAUCUUUUGCAUCUCCAAUUGUUGAAUACCUGGAGUCUGAAAAUGCCAUUUACGAUGUCAUUUAUGUUUAGCAUUAUAAAUGGGGUCAAGAAUGUUUAUAUUUUAAAUGUGUCUCUAUUUAAUCCUGAUUGUCAAUGGAAGCCCCAGCAUACAAAAGCCACACAUUAUGUUUCAGGGGAGAGAUUAUGCCAGUUGGUUGGGUGCCUUGUGUUCUAUUAAAGCUGAAGCCAGGCUCCCUGUCAGACUGUUACAGCUCAACACGUUGGAAUCUUCCAGCAGCGAGCACAGGUGUCUUGCACCAAUGGCUCCUUGUGCGCAGAGGGGAGAGCAGAUCCGGACCACUGGAGCAUGGCUCUCGGCCACCCUAGAACAUUCUCCCUAUUAUCCAGUCAGGCCUGGGAGAACCAGCCUGCCCGACAGCUAACAGCUGUCAGGGGACACCUGUAAUUGAGUCAAGUCGACAAGCAGGGACUGCGUAAGGCAAGAACGAGAAGUUUCCAAAACCCUCUUCCUUGUAUACCUCACACUGUGUCCACGACUCACGCUGUGAAACCAGAUCUCUUCUUCCCUGUGUGUCAACUUUGCCCUUAAGAUAAGGACAAAGGCUCCUUAGGGCCUGCGAGGACCUGCCUAAACUCUUUUUCUCUCUACUCCUGCCACACCAACCUUCAUUCCAAUCCUCACCUAAGCUGUACGGUCCCACCUCAGGGCCUUUGCACAUGCUGUUCUCAUUUCCUCAAGCUUCCCUGCACUAUCCCCAUGAUACCUACUUAACUCACCUGCUCCUUUAAUAGGUUAUUAGCCCAGCCAUCACUUCCUUGAGAACAGGUCCCAGACCUCCCUCAGUCAAAUCUCUCUAAUACACAUUUCCUUCAGAGCUCCCCUCAUACUGAUGCAGUUUUACAACUAUGUAACUAUUCGAAUAAAAUCUGGCUAGGAUGCA
rnacentral:lncRNA from 1 species